UAAAACUUUCAACAACGGAUCUCUUGGUUCUCGCAUCGAUGAAGAACGCAGCGAAAUGCGAUACGUAAUACGAAUCGCAGCUCUCGGAAUCAUCGAAUCUUUGAACGCACAUUGCACCAUUGGGUAUUCCCAAUGGUAUGCUUGUUUGAGCGAAUACUUC
rnacentral:rRNA from 1 species